rnacentral:lncRNA from 1 species
CACCCCCCCCCCACCCACCCCGGUUCCCACUGCUCAGCGCCGGGGUUCGCCCGGGGACGCGCGGGCGGCUGGGCGCGAGGGCACCUGGCAAGGUCGGUGCCGGAGGUCGGCCGGGGAACGCCGGCCACGUGCUCUCGCCAGCCGGCUGCACGCGGAGGAAUUUUAAAUAUAGCCGGCGGGGACGGGACGGGACGGGACGGGGACGCUGGGCUGCACGGGUCCCCCCUGCGCGGCUCCCCCCUCCGGCUUUUCUCCCUCGGAUGCGGCUGUUACUCUAACGCAUCCCCUCGGAUUUUGCCUCCAGCAUCUCUUCUCCGGCAGCAGCCCCGGCGUGGGCGUUGCUCCGGGGUAUUGAUCCUGGCCCGUUUGGGCUCGUUCGGAGGUAAUUCGGGGGUCGCUUGGACUGGCCAAAUUAGUGACAACUCAGGCUCUCGGCUUUACGACCACACGGACACAGUCAAAACCGAUUCUUGCUCCAAAAGCCAGGGAAAAACCGUCCGGCAGGUUUUGCUCUGUUUGUGCUGCACAGUGCCGCUUCCGCAGGCGGGAAUCCCGCCGGAGCAGUGUCAGGGGCUGCCAGGUCCCCGGAGGCAAAGCAAACCUGCGGCGGGCGUUUGUGGCUCCGGUGGCUGCCGGGGGGCUGCGUCUCGAGGGGGCAGGUUCUUCCCCCCGGGCGUCGGAACAGCAGCUUUGGGUGCUGCCGUCAGCCUGGGCGGCUCCGCUCGGAGCGCAGUGGGCUCCGGGCUCCGGCGCCGGGAGGAUGCAGCCCCAGGGCUCAGCACCGCCCGCCUCGUCCCUGCUCAGCAGUCGCAAGCUGCCUCAGUCGCCCUGGCGCGAGCGUGGUGCGCGGGGGAGUUCGGGCACCGAGGUCCCAGUGCUCCCAGUGCUCCAGCUCCCAGUCCUCCCAGUGACCCGACUCCCAUGCCUCCCAAUGCCCCAGCUCCCAGUGCUCCCAGUCCUCCCAGUGCUUCAGCUCCCAGGCCUCCCAGUGCCUUGGCUCCCAGUCCUCCCCAGUGCCCUGACUCCCAGUCCUCCCAGCACCCUGACUCCCAGUCCUCCCCAGUGCCCUGGCUCCCAGUCCUCCCCAUGCCCUGA